rnacentral:rRNA from 1 species
CUCAUGGUUUCACGGUAUUGCAAUGAGAACAAUUUGAAACCCUUAGCGAGAAUCAAGUGGAGGACAAGUCUGGUGCCAGCACCCGCGGUAAUUCCAGCUCCACUAGCGUAUAUUAAAGUUGUUGCAGUUAAAAAGCUCGUAGUUGAACCUCCGUCUGGGGCUAGUUUUGGCUUUGGUCAGGCUAGUUCUAGGCAUCCGCCUACAAGACUUAGAGGGCAUUCAGUUGUUCACUAGGAGGAGUAGGCAUUUUACUUUGAAAAAAUUAGAGUGUUUAAGGCAGGCAAUCGCCCGCAUAUAUUAGCAUGGAAUAAUAGAAUAGGACACUUUUCCAUUUCGUUGGUUAUUGGAAUCGUGUAAUGAUUAAUAGGGACAGUUGUGGGCAUUUGUAUUUAAUUGUCAGAGGUGAAAUUCUUGGAUUUAUUAAAGACAAACUAACGCGAAAGCAUUUGCCAAGGAUGUUUUCAUUAAUCAAGAACGAAAGUUAGGGGAUCAAAGACGAUCAGAUACCGUCCUAGUCUUAACUAUAAACUAUUCCGACUCAAUGUUUGACUGGCUUAUAUAACCAGUUGAGCGUUGUAUGAGAAAUCAAAGUCUUUAGGUUCUGGGGGGAGUAUGGUUGCAAAGCUGAAACUUAAAGGAAUUGACGGAAGAGCACAACCAGGAGUGGAUUCUGCGGCUUAAUUUGACUCAACACGGGGAAACUUACCAGGUUAAAACAAUAGUGGGAUUGACAGUUUGAGAGCGCUUUCUUGAUUGGUUGGGUGGUGGUGCAUGGCCGUUCUUAGUUGGUGGAGUGAUUUGUCUGCUUAAUUGCGUUAACGAACGAGACCUUAACCUGCUUACUAGACUGGCGAUCAUCAAUCGUUAGCUCUUCUUAGAGGGACUUUGGUUGUUUUAACUCCAAGGAAGUUUGAGGCAAUAACAGGUCUGUGAUGCCCUUAGAUAUCCUGGGCCGCACGCGUCAUACAAUGACUAGUUCAGAAAGUUUUCUCCUGACCCGAAAGGGGAUGGGUAAUCUUGAUAAUACUAGUCGUGUUAGGGAUCGAUCUUUGCAAUUAUAGAUCUUGAACGAGGAAUUCCUAGUAAGUGCGGUUCAUCAGACCGCACUGAUUACGUCCCUGCUCUUUGUACACACCGCCCGUCGCUUCUACCGAGUGGGUGGUCCGGUGAGAUAAUUGAACUUCGC